CAAGUCGAGCGCGGGAAGCGAGCGGAUCCCUUCGGGGUGAAGCUCGUGGAACGAGCGGCGGACGGGUGAGUAACACGUGGGCAACCUGCCUGUAAGACCGGAAUAAUCCCGGGAAACCGGGGCUAAUGCCGGGUAAUACUUUUCUUCGCAUGAAGGAAAGUUGAAAGAUGGCUUCUCGCUAUCACUUACAGAUGGGCCCGCGGCGCAUUAGCUAGUUGGUGAGGUAACGGCUCACCAAGGCGACGAUGCGUAGCCGACCUGAGAGGGUGAUCGGCCACACUGGAACUGAGACACGGCCCAGACUCCUACGGGAGGCAGCAGUAGGGAAUCUUCCGCAAUGGACGAAAGUCUGACGGAGCAACGCCGCGUGAACGAUGAAGGUCUUCGGAUCGUAAAGUUCUGUUGUUAGGGAAGAACAAGUACCGUGCGAAUAGAGCGGUACCUUGACGGUACCUAACGAGGAAGCCCCGGCUAACUACGUGCCAGCAGCCGCGGUAAUAC
rnacentral:rRNA from 1 species